rnacentral:rRNA from 1 species
GCAGGUUGAAGCGCGGGUAAGACCGCGUGGAGGACCGAACCCACCUGGGUUGAAAACCGGGGGGAUGACCUGGGGCUAGGGGUGAAAGGCCAAUCAAAUUCCGUGAUAGCUGGUUCUCUCCGAAAUGCAUUUAGGUGCAGCGUCGGUCGAUUGCGUCGCGGGGGUAGAGCUACCGGAUGCUUGCGGGCCCUUGUUGGGUACCAACAGCAGCCGAACUCCGAAUACCGUUGACGUGUAUUCCGGCAGUGAGUCGGCGGGGGAUAAGCUCCGUCGUCGAGAGGGAGACAGCCCAGACCGUCGUCUAAGGUCCCGAAGCGUGUGCUAAGUGGGAAAGGAUGUGGAGUCGCAUAGACAGCCAGGAGGUUGGCUCAGAAGCAGCCAUCCUUGAAAGAGUGCGUAACAGCUCACUGGUCUAGUGGUUCCGCGCCGACAAUGUAGCGGGGCUCAAGCACACCACCGAAGACGCGGCAGCAAUCUUCAUGGUUGCUGGGUAGGAGAGCGUCCUGCGAGGGGCGAAGCGGCCGGGUAACCGUGCCGUGGACUUCGUGGGAGUGAGAAUGCAGACAUGAGUAGCGAGAGACGGGUGAGGAUCCCGUCCGCUGGAUGACCAAGGGUUCCGGGGCCACGUUCGUCGUCCCCGGGUGAGUCGGGUCCUAAGGCGAGGCCGACAGGCGUAGUCGAAUGGAUGAACGGGUGGAUAUUCCCGUACCGACCAUGGACCGGCAAAACCGAGACGGUGAGUACUAACCUCCGCCUCGUGGUGGUUCCUUCCUUCGGGUUGGUUCCGCCGCGUGGUGUUGGGACUGUAGCCGCAGUAGGUCAGCGCAGGGGUGACACGGAAUGGGAGCCGGCCGCGGAGGUGGUUUUCCGUGGUCAAGCACGCAGCCAGUCAUGUAGGCAAAUCCGCAUGGCGCGCAUGGCGAGGUGUGAUGAUGGGAGCCGUUAUGGCUCGAUAUCCGGUUGUCCAGGCCGUCGAGAAAAGCCUCGGCGUGAGGGCCAUGGCCGCCCGUACCCCAAACCGACACUGGUGGUCAGGUAGAGAAUACCAAGGCGAUCGAGCGAAUCCUGGUCAAGGAACUCGGCAAAUCACUCCCGUGCCUUCGGUAUAAGGGAGACCCGCUGGGGUGAACCGGCUAGCCCGGGGAGCUUUGGUGGGUGGCACAGACCAGGGGGUAGCGACUGUUUACCAAAAACACAGGUGCAUGCGAAGGCGAAAGCCGCUGUAUAUGCACUGACGCCUGCCCGGUGCCGGAAGGUUAAGAGGAUCCGUCAAUCCCUUCGGGGACGAAGCGGUGAAUUCAAGCCCCGGUAAACGGCGGUGGUAACUAUAACCAUCCUAAGGUAGCGAAAUUCCUUGUCGGGUAAGUUCCGACCUGCACGAAUGGCGUAA